CUUGCUACACUGACUACAAUAGAAACAUCACAUGUUUGUGGAACAGCAGAUACGUGUCUGAUGACAUUGCAUGCACCAUACAUGCUCAGUAUAAAUCUCGACGCCUUUCUUACAGCGCUUCCUGUGACCUAAAGUCUUUUGAUGUCUCCAGACCAGCUCUAAAGAAGUGCUCCCUGAUCUUUGAAAUUGAAUACACUUUUCUGUCUUUCCAUGAGUUGUCCCUUAAUCUGAGCUGCAACCAAAUGAAGCAGAGUUUAAUCACUUCCUUCAAGCCAUCCUGUCACAUAAAGGUGAAUCCUCCUGCAGAGCCAAAAGUCAACUUCACGUCUGUUUCCUGGUUGUCCCAAGUCCCCGAACAUGAAAGGAUCAGUUCAUACAAAAGUAAAGUGCAGUGGAAGAAGCAGGAUCAGUCAUGGAGUGAUCCCACUGUGCGCAAAACACGUAGCAUUCAAUGUGGGCAGGAGUGCAAGGCAGAGCUGAGGCCACAUUUGCUGAUACAAGGCGAGAGGUAUGAGGCACGCGUUCGUGUGCGGUCUAUUUUUCAGCACCGCAAGGGAGCCUGGAGUGACUGGAGCCCCACUGCAUCAUGGGAGUCACCAGCAAGAAGAAAGAAAAAAACUUACCAUGUGUAAUUGCUAUAAACUUUCACAGCACACAUUGCAACCUGUACCCAGAUAUUUAAAAUCACAGAUGUAUAUAAAACUUAGGUUUUUGGUAGCACUUAAUAAUAAUGUCACAAUGUUAAGAGUUAUUAAUGUUAUAGUAAGGUAUUAGCAAGUGUUUAAUUCAUACUAACAGUGAGUUACUAUCAGUGAUAGCUGUACAUGGUGUAGUAGUAACAGAUGUAUAAAUAUAUGUGUAUUUAAAAAUGACAUACUGAGGAGGAGUAAUUAUAUAUAAAACAUGGAGUACACACUGUUAGGUUCAUUUUUGAGAGAGAGAAGACAAACAUGCUCAAAGCGCGUUGUCUUAAAUGUAUUAAGCAUUUGAAGGCUCAAGUUAAAAAACGGCUGCCGAGUCUCUUUGCUCGCUCAGGAGAGCCAAACGAACAAAGAGCAGCACACCCAAAUAGUAUAGACUUUUAUGGUGGCUCACAGAAACAGAAUGUUAACAUGAUUGGUGGAAUCAGUUGAGGGUGGCCUUCGGUCUGAUACUGGUACACGUUUCUUCUUCUGCACCUCUCUGGAUAUCAGCCUUAUAUGGAGAUGACCCUUUCGCAGACAACACUCCCAUUACCAUGGCAACCACCUGUCGUUCUCCAGCCUGGCCUAUAGAGUUCAAGAAGGGGGGUUGUCUUGUAGCUAUCACGACCUCCAUCCACAUUCCUGUGAAGGAUCUUCCCCCUGUUUGUCUGCCAGCAUCAGAGUGAAUCCAGACUAUUCUUCAAUACAUUGUGUGCAGUAAAGGAUAAACAAAUGUGUUUUGCUAAUCAUCAAGUGUUAGCCUUAAAGAUAAUAAAUCCCAUCAACACUUAUUACCUCAAUAAUGCUUAAAAGUGUAAUAUUAUUAUAAAGUUCAACCAAGUUUUUUAACUGUGACAUGAUUUUUUUUUUUUUUUUUGCGAGGAGGGUUUGUUCUCCACCAC